rnacentral:rRNA from 1 species
CCUACGGGAGGCAGCAGUGGGGAAUAUUGCACAAUGGGGGAAACCCUGAUGCAGCGACGCCGCGUGAGUGAAGAAGUACCUCGGUAUGUAAAGCUUUAUUAGUAGGGAAGAAAAUGACGGUACCUGUUUAAGUAGCCCCGGCUAACUACGUGCCAGCACCCGCGGCAAUACGUAGGCGGCAAGCGUUAUCCGGAUUUACUGGGUGUAAAGGGAGCGUAGACGGCUGCACAAGUCUGGAGUGAAAUGCCGGGGCUUAACCCCGGAACUGCUGUGGAAACUGUGCAGCUAGAGUGCAGGAGAGGUAAGUGGAAUUCGUGGUGUAGCGGUGAAAUGCGUAGAUAUUAGGAGGAACACCAGUGGCGAAGGCAGCUUACUGGACUGUAACUGACGUUGAGGCUCGAAAGCGUGGGGAGCAAACAGGAUUAGAUACCCCAGUAGUC